UACGUAGGGGGCAAGCGUUGUCCGGAUUUAUUGGGCGUAAAGAGCGUGUAGGCGGUUUGGUAGGUCCGCUGUGAAAACUCGAGGCUCAACCUCGAGACGCCGGUGGAAACCAUCAGACUAGAGUCCGGAAGAGGAGAGUGGAAUUCCUGGUGUAGCGGUGAGAUGCGCAGAUAUCAGGAAGAACACCCGUGGCUAAGGCGGCUCUCUAGUACGGUACUGACGCUGAGACGCGAAAGCGUGGGGAGCGAACAGG
rnacentral:rRNA from 1 species